GACGAACGCUGGCGGCGUGCUUAACACAUGCAAGUCGAACGGAAAGGCCCUGCUUUUGUGGGGUGCUCGAGUGGCGAACGGGUGAGUAACACGUGAGUAACCUGCCCUUGACUUUGGGAUAACUUCAGGAAACUGGGGCUAAUACCGGAUAGGAGCUCCUGCUGCAUGGUGGGGGUUGGAAAGUUUCGGCGGUUGGGGAUGGACUCGCGGCUUAUCAGCUUGUUGGUGGGGUAGUGGCUUACCAAGGCUUUGACGGGUAGCCGGCCUGAGAGGGUGACCGGCCACAUUGGGACUGAGAUACGGCCCAGACUCCUACGGGAGGCAGCAGUGGGGAAUAUUGCACAAUGGGCGGAAGCCUGAUGCAGCAACGCCGCGUGCGGGAUGACGGCCUUCGGGUUGUAAACCGCUUUCGCCUGUGACGAAGCGUGAAUGACGGUAAUGGGUAAAGAAGCACCGGCUAACUACGUGCCAGCAGCCGCGGUGAUACGUAGGGUGCGAGCGUUGUCCGGAUUUAUUGGGCGUAAAGGGCUCGUAGGUGGUUGAUCGCGUCGGAAGUGUAAUCUUGGGGCUUAACCCUGAGCGUGCUUUCGAUACGGGUUGACUUGAGGAAGGUAGGGGAGAAUGGAAUUCCUGGUGGAGCGGUGGAAUGCGCAGAUAUCAGGAGGAACACCAGUGGCGAAGGCGGUUCUCUGGGCCUUUCCUGACGCUGAGGAGCGAAAGCGUGGGGAGCGAACAGGCUUAGAUACCCUGGUAGUCCACGCUGUAAACGGUGGGUACUAGGUGUGGGGUCCAUUCCACGGGUUCCGUGCCGUAGCUAACGCUUUAAGUACCCCGCCUGGGGAGUACGGCCGCAAGGCUAAAACUCAAAGGAAUUGACGGGGCCCCGCACAAGCGGCGGAGCAUGCGGAUUAAUUCGAUGCAACGCGUAGAACCUUACCUGGGUUUGACAUGGAUCGGGAGUGCUCAGAGAUGGGUGUGCCUCUUUUGGGGUCGGUUCACAGGUGGUGCAUGCCUGUCGUCAGCUCGUGUCGUGAGAUGUUGGGUUAAGUCCCGCAACGAGCGCAACCCUUGUUCACUGUUGCCAGCACGUUAUGGUGGGGACUCAGUGGAGACCGCCGGGGUCAACUCGGAGGAAGGUGGGGAUGACGUCAAGUCCUCAUGCCCCUUAUGUCCAGGGCUUCACGCAUGCUACAAUGGCUGGUACAGAGAGUGGCGAGCCUGUGAGGGUGAGCGAAUCUCGGAAAGCCGGUCUCAGUUCGGAUUGGGGUCUGCAACUCGACCUCAUGAAGUCGGAGUCGCUAGUAAUCGCAGAUCAGCAACGCUGCGGUGAAUACGUUCCCGGGGCU
rnacentral:rRNA from 1 species